UAUCAAUAAGCGGAGCACAAGGGUCCCUGCCUAGCACUAGGCGGAACACACAGGGGCCCUGUCUUGNAUUUGCGCCUCUCGUACAUGUUCCUUGAAACAGGACGUCACAGAGGGUGAGAGGCCCGUGCGAUGAGGUGUCCAUUUCUAUGUAAGAUGUUUUCAAGAGUCGAGUUGUUUGGGAAUGCAGCUCUAAUUGGGUGGUAAAUUCCAUCUAAAGCUAAAUAUUGGCGAGAGACCGAUAUUUUACAAGUACAGUGAUGGAAAGAUGAAAAGAACUUUGAAAAGAGAGUGAAAAAGUACGUGAAAUUGUUGAAAGGGAAGGGUAUUAGAUCAGACUUGGUAUUUAGUUAUCACUACUCCUUGUGGGUGGUGCUCUAACUUUUUACUGGGCCAGCAUCAGUUUUGGUGGCAGAUAAUGACAUUUGAAUGUGGCUCCUCGCAGUGUUAUAGCUUUUGUUGAUACUGCCUAUCAAUACUGAGGUCUUGCCCGCCUUUCCUCNCANGCUGGGGUACUGAUCCAAUCCC
rnacentral:rRNA from 1 species